rnacentral:rRNA from 1 species
GACGAACGCUGGCGGCGUGCCUAAUACAUGCAAGUCGAACGAGUGGCGGACGGGUGAGUAAUGUCUGGGAAACUGCCCGAUGUAGGUGGCUAACUACUGGAAACGUUAGCUAAUACCGCAUACCAUCGGAUGUGCCCAGAUGGGAUUAGCUAGUUGGUGGGGCAACGGCUCACCUAGGCGACGAUCCCUAGCUGGUCAGAGAGGAUGACCAGCCACACUGGAACUGAGAAACGGUCCAGACUCCUACGGGAGGCAGCAGUGGGGAAUAUUGCACAAUGGGCGCAAGCCUGAUGCAGCCAUGCCGCGUGUAUGAAGAAGGCCUUCGGGUUGUAAAGUACUUUCAGCGAGGAGGCGUUACUCGCAGAAGAAGCACCGGCUAACUCCGUGCCAGCAGCCGCGGUAAUAC